GACGAACGCUGGCGGCGUGCCUAAUACAUGCAAGUAGAACGCACAGUUUAUACCGUAGCUUGCUACACCAUAGACUGUGAGUUGCGAACGGGUGAGUAACGCGUAGGUAACCUGCCUGGUAGCGGGGGAUAACUAUUGGAAACGAUAGCUAAUACCGCAUAAUAUUAAUUAUUGCAUGAUAAUUAAUUGAAAGGUGCAAUUGCACCACUACCAGAUGGACCUGCGUUGUAUUAGCUAGUAGGUGAGGUAACGGCUCACCUAGGCGACGAUACAUAGCCGACCUGAGAGGGUGAUCGGCCACACUGGGACUGAGACACGGCCCAGACUCCUACGGGAGGCAGCAGUAGGGAAUCUUCGGCAAUGGACGAAAGUCUGACCGAGCAACGCCGCGUGAGUGAAGAAGGUUUUCGGAUCGUAAAGCUCUGUUGUAAGAGAAGAACGGGUGUGAGAGUGGAAAGUUCACACUGUGACGGUAUCUUACCAGAAAGGGACGGCUAACUACGU
rnacentral:rRNA from 1 species